rnacentral:misc_RNA from 1 species
ACGAAAUGGCCUCCAUACAUGAUCCGAGGUCACCUGGAGAAAAGUUGGUUGCUUUUCAGCGUCGGCCAGCAGCCGGCCGGGCCUACAAGAGCGGUGUGACAAAGCCCCAUACGCUCGAGGACCGGACGCGGUGCCGCCGCUGCCUUUCGGGCCCGUCCCCCGGGGGGGACGACGACCCAACACACAAGCCGUGCUUGAGGGCAGCAAUGACGCUCGGACAGGCAUACCCCCCGGAAUACCAGGGGGUGCAAUGUGCGUUCAAAGACUCGAUGAUUCACUGAAUUCUGCAAUUCACAUUAAUUAUCGCAUUUCGCUGCGUUCUUCAUCGAUGCCGGAACCAAGAGAUCCAUUGUUGAAAGUUUUAACUGAUUGCGAUACAAUCGACUCAGACGACAAAACUUCAGACAGUGUUCACGUUGGUGUCUCCGGCGAGCGCUGUGCCCCCCUAAGAAAAAGGGGGCGGGCUCGCCGAAGCAACAAGGUACGGUAUACACGGGUGGGAGGUUGGCCUCUGAGGGACCCUCGUUUCGUAAUGAUUUUUUUUGUAUGUUUAAGGGGGGAAAAAAAGGGCCCCCCGUUUAAUUUUUUUUUUUU